GGUUGAGCAGUUCAGCAGUGUACACAAAUCACAUUCUCAGGAAUUUUUGGAUGCUCAGCUGAUGCAACCAAAAGAUACUUGUGUGAUGACAAUAUGUUAUUGUAAGUGGGAAGUCAGUAUUUCUUAUCUUCUGAGCUUUCUUGUUUUUACCUCCUUUACAGGCCACUCGCUCUGGUGGGACCCUCGUGCUUGUGGGGCUGGGCUCUGAGAUGACCACCGUACCCCUACUGCAUGCAGCCGUCCGGGAGGUGGAUAUCAAGGGUGUGUUUCGAUACUGCAACACGUGGCCAGUGGCGAUUUCGAUGCUUGCGUCCAAGUCUGUGAACGUAAAACCCCUCGUCACCCAUAGGUUU
rnacentral:sRNA from 1 species